GAUGUUGCCUGAAUAGUUUUGCAUGGAAUAAUGGAAUAGGACUUCGGUUCUAUUUCGUUGGUUUUCGGAUCCGAAGUAAUGAUCAAAAGAGACAGGCGGGGACGUUUGUAUGGCUGCGCUAGAGGUGAAAUUCGUNGACCGUAGCCAGACAAACUAAAGCGAAAGCAUUCGUCAAGCAUGUUUUCAUUGGCCAUGAGCGAAAGUCAGAGGCUCGAAGACGAUCAGAUACCGUCCUAGUUCUGACCAUAAACGAUGCCAACUGACGAUCCGUGGUGGUAGUGAUAAACCUUCCCCACGGGCAGUCCCCGGGAAACCUUUAAGUCUUUGGGUUCCGGGGGAAGUAUGGUUGCAAAGCUGAAACUUAAAGGAAUUGACGGAAGGGCACCACCAGGAGUGGAGCCUGCGGCUUAAUUUGACUCAACACGGGAAAACUCACCCGGGCCGGACACUAUGAGGAUUGACAGAUUGAUAGC
rnacentral:rRNA from 1 species